AUGACGCGUGAGCUAAAGGAUGCCACUGUCCGAUGUGAAUUCCCCGAGAAGGAAAACAAAAUCAAAAUGGCCGAUCUCGACAAGGCCUUACAAGAGGCGAGAGAAGCACAAUCCGAGUCUAGAGCUGCUCGGGAGGAGAUCCGGCAAGCUGGGGAGAUAGCGGCUGGUAAGCCCUUCUUAUUACAGGCUAAGUUCCGCGAUCCGAAGUAUGCCCCACUUAAUCAAAUGUGGAGUUCUCCAGACGCAUUCUUGGACUUGCCGAAGAGUGUCUCCGAUGCGGCGCAGUUUUUCCAAGCGCAAGAAGGACAUGCAACGGAGAAGCUUUUCUGGUCGCAAUUCAGCAUGCCAAAGCGUCCGCUGUUGCUGAACGAAUAG
rnacentral:rRNA from 1 species